UCGACCUGAGGUCAGGCAAGAACACCCGCUGAACUGUA
rnacentral:rRNA from 1 species